AUUGAACUCUGGCGGCAGGCCUAACACAUGCAAGUCGAGCGAUCGGCGGACGGGUGAGUAAUGUAUGGGGAUCUGCCCGAUAGAGGGGGAUAACUACUGGAAACGGUGGCUAAUACCGCAUACUAUCAGAUGAACCCAUAUGGGAUUAGCUAGGUGGUGGUGUAAAUUCUCACCUAGGCGACGAUCUCUAGCUGGUCUGAGAGUAUGAUCAGCACACCUGGAACGUAGACAAGGUCAUGAGUCCUCCGUGAGGCAGCAGUGGGGAAUAUUGCACAAUGGGCGCAAGCCUGAUGCAGGCAUGCAGUGUGUAUGAAGAAGGCCUUAGGGUUGUAAAGUACUUUCAGCGGGGAGGCGUUGCCCGCAGAAGAAGCACCGGCUAACUCCGUGCCAGCAGCCGCGGUAAUUC
rnacentral:rRNA from 1 species